GCCUCCUUGGCUCAGUUGGCUAGAGCGCAGGUCUCAUAUCUGAAAUAUGAGUAACGAACGUUAUGUAAUCCUGAGGUCGCAAGUUCGAGCCUUGCAGGGGGCA
rfam:Hypholoma sublateritium FD-334 SS-4 unplaced genomic scaffold scaffold_64, whole genome shotgun sequence.